UCGGAAUUUGCCCAGUCGUGGGGAUAACGUAGGGAAACUUACGCUAAUACCGCAUACGACGGUGACGUGAAAGCGGGGGAUCAGCAAUGACCUCGCGCGAGUGGAUGAGCCGAUGUCGGAUUAGCUAGUUGGCGGGGUAAAGGCCCACCAAGGCGACGAUCCGUAGCUGGUCUGAGAGGAUGAUCAGCCACACUGGAACUGAGACACGGUCCAG
rnacentral:rRNA from 1 species